GACGAACGCUGGCGGCGUGCUUAACACAUGCAAGUCGAACGGGCCUUGUCCCCUUUUUUUUUGGGGGUGGGGUUAGUGGCGAACGGGUGAGUAACACGUGAGUAACCUGCCCCUCACUUCUGGAUAACCGCUUGAAAGGGUGGCUAAUACGGGGUGUUCUGGCCUGCUCGCAUGGGUGGGUUUGGAAAGAUUCGACCGGUUUUGGUUGUUUUGGUGGGGGAUGGGCUCGCGGCCUAUCAGCUUGUUGGUGGGGUGAUGGCCUGCCAAGGCUUUGACGGGUAGCCGGCCUGAGAGGGUGGGCGGUCACACUGGGACUGAGACACGGCCCAGACUCCUACGGGAGGCAGCAGUGGGGAAUAGUGCACAAUGGGCGCAAGCCUGAUGCAGCGACGCCGCGUGAGGGAUGGAGGCCUUCGGGUUGUGAACCUCUUUCGCCAGUGAAGAAGGUCCUGCUCUUUGUGGUGGGGUUGACGGUAGCUGGGUUAAUGAAGUGCCGGCUAACUACGUG
rnacentral:rRNA from 1 species